CCCUUAGAUGUUCUGGGCCGCACGCGCGCUACACUGAUGCAUUCAACGAGUUUUGUUUGUUCCUUGGCCGAGAGGCCUGGGCAAUCUUUUGAACUUGCAUCGUGAUAGGGAUAGAUUAUUGCAAUUAUUAAUCUUGAACGAGGAAUUCCCAGUAAACGCAGAUCAUCAAUCUGCAUUGAUUACGUCCCUGCCCUUUGUACACACCGCCCGUCGCACCUACCGAUUGAAUGGUCCGGUGAAGCCUCGGGAUUGUGGUUGGUUUCCUUUAUUGGAGAUUGAUUGCGAGAACUUGUCUAAACCUUAUCAUUUAGAGGAAGGUGAAGUCGUAACA
rnacentral:rRNA from 1 species